CCUACGGGAGGCAGCAGUGAGGAAUAUUGGUCAAUGGACGAAAGUCUGAACCAGCCACGUAGCGUGAGGGAUGACGGCUCUAUGGGUUGUAAACUUCUUUUAUAAAGGAAUAAAACGAGGCACGUGUGCCUUUUUGCAUGGCUAUUAUGAAUACGGCACGGGUAAUUCCGUGCCAGCAGCCGGGGUAAUACGGAGGUACCGAGCGUUAUCCGGAUUUAUUGGGUUUAAAGGGAGCGUAGAUGGGUUGUUAAGUCAGUUGUGAAAGUUUGAGGAUCAAACGUAGAAUUGCAAUUGAUACGGGCAGGAUUGAGUACAGUUGAGGUAGGGGGAAUUCGUGGUGUAGCGGUGAAAUGCGUAGAUAUCACGAAGAACCCCGAUUGCGAAGGCAGCUUACUAAACUGUGACUGACAUUGAUGCUCGAAAGUGUGGGGAUCAAACAGGAUUAGAUACCCUAGUAGUC
rnacentral:rRNA from 1 species